rnacentral:rRNA from 1 species
AGCAUAUCAAUAAGCGGAGGAAAAGAAACUAACAAGGAUUCCCCUAGUAACUGCGAGUGAGGCGGGAAAAGCUCAAAUUUGAAAUCUGGCGGUUCUGCCGUCCGAGUUGUAUUCUGGAGAAGUGCCUUCUGUGCCGGACCGUGUACAAGUCCCUUGGAACAGGGCGUCAUAGAGGGUGAGAAUCCCGUCUUUGACACGGACCCCCGGUGCUAUGUGAUGCGCUCUCGAAGAGUCGAGUUGUUUGGGAAUGCAGCUCAAAACGGGUGGAAAAUUCCAUCUAAAGCUAAAUAUUGGCGAGAGACCGAUAGCGAACAAGUACCGUGAGGGAAAGAUGAAAAGCACUUUGGAAAGAGAGUAAAACAGUACGUGAAAUUGUUGAAAGGGAAACGCUUGAAGUCAGUCGCGUCUGCCGGAACUCAGCCUUGCUUCUGCUUGGUGCACUUUCCGGUCUGACGGGCCAGCAUCGGUNUNGUGAGGCGGACACGGGUGGGGGGAAGGUGGCGGCUCCGGCCGUGUUAUAGCCCUCCAUCGCAAACGUCUCGUGGGACCGAGGAAUCCGGCGCAAGCCUGGGAUGCUGGCGUAAUGGCUUUAAACGACCCGUCU